AGAUGGCGACCGGCGCACGGUGAGUAACACGUAUCCAACCUGCCGAUAACUCGGGGAUAGCCUUUCGAAAGAAAGAUUAAUACCCGAUGGUAUAACCAGACCGCAUGGUUUGAUUAUUAAAGAAUUUCGGUUAUCGAUGGGGAUGCGUUCCAUUAGGCAGUUGGUGAGGUAACGGCUCACCAAACCUUCGAUGGAUAGGGGUUCUGAGAGGAAGGUCCCCCACAUUGGAACUGAGACACGGUCCAA
rnacentral:rRNA from 1 species